GAGAGACAACGAAGGCUGCGAAGCGAU
rnacentral:sRNA from 1 species